UCAUAUGAAAAACCCAAAUACCAAAAACCCUAAUCUCACUCUUAAAAUUUCAGUCGCAUCUUACCAUCUGUCCUCUCUCACUCUCUCUAAACUCCGGCCGCCUUCCUUAUCGUCACCAUCGCCUCCGACGUCCUUCAUCACCACCUCUCCUUCCUCCUCCGGCUGUACAAGCUAUCCGCAUCACUACCACUGACAACCACAACAGUCGUCGACAACCAAAGAACUGAUGAAAUCUCCCCCAACUGCUGCCGCCCUCCUCCAAAAUCUCAAAGAGAAUCUGCAAUACCAAUGGGGGAGUAUAAUGGUGAAAAGUACAUAGGGAUUAAUGAUGUUCCUCUAUCUCCUAGAUCAAAUAAUUCCAAUCCUAGGUUGAUGCUUCAAAUGUUGAUUUGUAUGCUCAAUUGCGGAAUGAGCGACACAAAAAUUAGAGGAAAAAAAAGGAAUUGGACUUGUUUAUGAAGCAUGUAUACAAGAAAUCACCUUCAAAUGAUGAACGCCCAUCUCAAGAAGACAACCAAGAUUAUGAGGAUAAAAGUGAUGAUGACUCUGAUGGCGUGAAUGAAAGCGAUUCUAGUCCUGAUAACGUGGAUGAAAGUGAUUCUGACCCUGGUGGUUGAUAGUUUUCUUGAGUAUUCAAGUUUAAAAUAUUUUGUUUUGAACCAUUUAAGAAUCAUACAUUAUUGAUGUGGAUGUAAUGAAUUAUGUUUUUUUUGUUAACCGUAAUGGUUUACAUCAGACUUGUAUUGACUGAUUUUUUGAUAAUUAUUAACGGUUUUGAAUAGAUUUUUGACUAA